CUAAGGGUUAGGGUUAGGUUAUUACAGGUUUGUAUCUAAGGGUUAGGGUUAGGUUCUUCAGGUUUGUAUCUUAGGAUUAUUACAGGUUUGUAUCUAAGGGUAAGGGUUAGGUUAUUACAGGUUUGUAUCUAAGGGUAAGAUUAUUACAGGUUUGUAUCUAAGGGUUAGGGUUAGGUUAUUACAGGUUUGUAUCUAAGGGUAAGAUUAUUACAGGUUUGUAUCUAAGGGUUAGGGUUAGGUUAUUACAGGUUUGUAUCUAAGGGUUAGGUUCUUACAGGUUUGUAUCUAAGGGUUAGGGUCAGGUUAUUACAGGUUUGUAUCUAAUGGUUAGGGUUAAGUUAUUACAGGUUUGUAUCUAAGGGUUAGGGUUAAGUUCUACAGGUUUGUAUCUAAGGGUUAGGGUUAGGUUCUACAGGUUUGUAUCUAAGGGUUAGGUUAUUACAGGUUUGUAUCUAAGGGUAAGGGUUAGGGUUAGGGUUAGGUUAUUACAGGUUUGUAUCUAAGGGUUAGGGUUAAGUUCUACAGGUUUGUAUCUAAGGGUUAGGGUUAGGUUCUACAGGUUUGUAUCUAAGGGUUAGGGUUAGGUUCUUACAGGUUUGUAUCUAAGGGUUAGGGUUAGGUUCUUACAGGUUUGUAUCUAAGGGUAACGUUAUUACAGGUUUGUAUCUAAGGGUUAGGGUAAGGUUAUUACAGGUUUGUAUCUAAGGGUUAGGGUUAGGUUAUUACAGGUUUGUAUCUAAGGGUUAGGAUUAGGUUAUUACAGGUUUGUAUUUAAGGGUUAGGUUAUUACAGGUUUGUAUUUCAGGGUAAGGGUUAAGUUCUACAGGUUUGUAUCUAAGGGUAAGGGUUAGGUUCUACAGGUUUGUAUCUAAGGGUAAGGGUUAGGUUAUUACAGGUUUGUAUCUAAGGGUUAGGAUUAGGUUCUACAGGUUUGUAUCUAAGGGCAAGG